GAGUUUGAUCUUGGCUCAGAACGAACGCUGGCGGCAGGCUUAAUACAUGCAAGUCGAGCGCCCCGCAAGGGGAGCGGCAGACGGGUGAGUAACGCGUGGGAAUCUACCCAGUUCUACGGAAUAACACAGGGAAACUUGUGCUAAUACCGUAUACGCCCUACGGGGAAAGAUUUAUCGGGAUUGGAUGAGCCCGCGUUGGAUUAGCUAGUUGGUGGGGUAAUGGCCUACCAAGGCGACGAUCCAUAGCUGAUCUGAGAGGAUGAUCAGCCACACUGGGACUGAGACACGGCCCAGACUCCUACGGGAGGCAGCAGUAGGGAAUAUUGGACAAUGGGCGAAAGCCUGAUCCAGCCAUGCCGCGUGAGUGAUGAAGGCCUUAGGGUUGUAAAGCUCUUUCAGUGGGGAAGAUAAUGACGGUACCACAGAAGAAGCCCCGGCUAACUCGUGCCAGCAGCCGCGGU
rnacentral:rRNA from 1 species